rnacentral:rRNA from 1 species
UACGUAGGUGGCAAGCGUUGUCCGGAUUUACUGGGCGUAAAGAGCGCGCAGGCGGUCGUUCAAGUCGAGUGUGAAAAGCCCCCCGGCUCAACUGGGGAGGGUCACUCGAUACUGAUCGACUCGAAGGCAGAAGAGGGGAAGCGGAAUUCCCGGUGUAGUGGUGAAAUGCGCAGAUAUCAGGAGAACACCUAUGGCGAAGGCAGCUCUCUGGGACGGUACUGACGCUGAGACGCGAAAGCGUGGGGAGCGAACAGG